UACGUAGGGGGCAAGCGUUGUCCGGAUUUAUUGGGCGUAAAGAGCGUGUAGGCGGCCAUACAGGUCAGCUGUGAAAACUCGAGGCUCAACCUCGAGACGUCGGUUGAAACCGUAUGGCUAGAGUCCGGAAGAGGAGAGUGGAAUUCCCGGUGUAGCGGUGAAAUGCGCAGAUAUCGGGAAGAACACCUAUGGCGAAGGCAGCUCUCUGGGACGGUACUGACGCUGAGACGCGAAGGUCAGGGGAGCAAACGGG
rnacentral:rRNA from 1 species